rnacentral:rRNA from 1 species
AUUGAACGCUGGCGGCAGGCUUAACACAUGCAAGUCGAACGGUAACAUUUCUAGCUUGCUAGGAGAUGACGAGUGGCGGACGGGUGAGUAAUGCUUGGGAACAUGCCUUUACGUGGGGGACAACAGUUGGAAACGACUGCUAAUACCGCAUAAUGUCUUUCUUUAAUUAGGGGGACCAAAGCAGGGGACCUUCGGGCCUUGCGCGUAAAGAUUGGCCCAAGUGGGAUUAGCUAGUUGGUAAGGUAAUGGCUUACCAAGGCGACGAUCCCUAGCUGGUCUUAGAGGAUGACCAGCCACACUGGAACUGAGACACGGUCCAG